UUUUUUGACACGCGCACCAGCUUCUCUAGAAAUCUUUCAGAGACUGUCAGACUAAUGAGACGUAUUCACGCUAAUACACCAGGAUUUGAGAGCGAAUGGUUUAGUAAUGUAAGGAGGCAGGCCUUGAAGUCGAUAAUGUUUCAUCCAGUGGUCAUAACGGCUUGGCGUGUUCCUGCUUGUUGUCCAUUGAAGGAUAUAGAUACAGAAGAGGAGGAAAAGCCAAUUCCCAUGGUAGAAAAAAUUGCAUUCAAUAAAUUCCGCAGCAGGGAUGUGCACAAAACCAGGCAAGCUGGAACACCCGUUAGAAGAUAUGGAAUUCAUCAACCACGAAGGCACUAAAUAAUUUAUGGCAAAACAUGUAUUUCUGCUCUCCAAUUUAUCCAUCCGGCUUAUGUAUGAAUUCACUAUUCACUUUAUUUAGGGGUAUGAAUUAUGUAUAAAUGUCACCAAAAUUUAAUUAACUUUCAUUCCAACAUAACUUAAAACAAAACGACAGAACGCAAAAUGUUCAAUAAGGAAACACAGUACCAAUAAGCUCCAAAUUACCAGGAAGGCUGCAUUAUUGUGAAUCAUAUUUGAUUUAAUCAUACACAUUUUGUAAUACCAGUUUUUCGUGGAAUAUAAGUUAGUGUAUUUAUUAACCCUGAAAAGAAGCUGAGUGCUCUGUUUCAGUUAUUAUUGGACACAUAUCUUAGAAGAGCAAGAAUUAAAAAUUGUUUUAAUGUGACUUGCAAAUCAAUGACAAAAA